rnacentral:rRNA from 1 species
GACGAACGCUGGCGGCGUGCCUAAUACAUGCAAGUCGAGCGAACAGACGAGGAGCUUGCUCCUCUGACGUUAGCGGCGGACGGGAGAGUAACACGUGGAUAACCUCCCUAUCUGACGGGGAUCACUUCGGAACACGGGCGAUAAUACCGUAUAAUAUAUUGCACCGCGUGGGUCAAUGGAAAAAGUCGGUUUUGCUGGCUCUUAUAGAUGGUUUCGCGCCGCAUUAGCUGGUUGGUAAGGUAAUGGGUUACCACGGCGACGAUGCGUAGCCGACGUGAGAGGGGGAUCGGCCACACGGGAGCGGGGCCGCGGUCCAGACGCCUAAGGGAGGGACCAGUAGGGAACCUGCCGCAGUAGGGGAAAACCUGACGGAGCGGCCGCGCGUGUGUGACGAAGGCCUCCGGAGCGGAAAACCCUGUUAUGGGUGAUGAACAAAUUUGGAAGGAACCAAGCACUGCGUGACGGUACCGAAUAAAAAAGCACCGGCUAACUACGUG